GCUGGCGUGGCCAAACGGUAAGGCAUCUGUUUUGUAAUCAGAGGAUUGGGGGUUCAAAUCCCUCCGCCAGCUCCA
rnacentral:tRNA from 1 species